rnacentral:rRNA from 1 species
GCCGAACGCUGGCGGCGUGCCUAAUACAUGCAAGUCGAACGCAGUUGCGAACGGGUGAGUAACGCGUAGGUAACUGCCUGGUAGCGGGGGAUAACUAUUGGAAACGAUAGCUAAUACCGCAUACUACCAGAUGGACCUGCGUUGUAUUAGCUAGUUGGGGAGGUAACGGGUCACCAAGGCAACGAUACAUAGCCGACCUGAGAGGGUGAUCGGCCACACCUGGACUGAGGCACGGCCCAGACUCCUUAGGGAGGCAGCAGUAGGGAAACUUCGGCAAUGGGGGGAACCCUGACCGAGCAACGCCGCGGGAGUGAAGAAUGUUUUCGGAUCGGAAAGCUCUUUUGUUAAGGAAGCGGUACUUAACCAGAAAGGGACGGCUAACUACGUGCCAGCAGCCGCGGUAAUAC